CUACGUGCCAGCAGCCGCGGUAAUACGUAGGUGGCAAGCGUUGUCCGGAAUUAUUGGGCGUAAAGCGCGCGCAGGCGGAUUGGUCAGUCUGUCUUAAAAGUUCGGGGCUUAACCCCGUGAUGGGAUGGAAACUGCCAAUCUAGAGUAUCGGAGAGGAAAGUGGAAUUCCUAGUGUAGCGGUGAAAUGCGUAGAUAUUAGGAAGAACACCAGUGGCGAAGGCGGCCUUCUGGGCCAUAACUGACGCUGAGGAGCGAAAGCUAGGGGAGCAAACAGGAUUAGAUACCCUGGUAGUCCUAGCCGUAAACGAUGGACACUAGGUGUGGGGGAAUAUUUCUUCCGUGCCGCAGCUAACGCAUUAAGUGUCCCGCCUGGGGAGUACGGCCGCAAGGCUAAAACUCAAAGGAAUUGACGGGGGCCCGCACAAGCGGAGGAACAUGUGGUUUAAUUCGAUGAUACGCGAGGAACCUUACCCGGGCU
rnacentral:rRNA from 1 species